rnacentral:rRNA from 1 species
UAGGGAAUCUUCGGCAAUGGACGAAAGUCUGACCGAGCAACGCCGCGUGAGUGAAGAAGGUUUUCGGAUCGUAAAACUCUGUUGUUAGAGAAGAACAAGGACGUUAGUAACUGAACGUCCCCUGACGGUAUCUAACCAGAAAGCCACGGCUAACUACGUGCCAGCAGCCGCGGUAAUACGUAGGUGGCAAGCGUUGUCCGGAUUUAUUGGGCGUAAAGCGAGCGCAGGCGGUUUCUUAAGGCUGAUGUGAAAGCCCCCGGCUCAACCGGGGAGGGUCAUUGGAAACUGGGAGACUUGAGUGCAGAAGAGGAGAGUGGAAUUCCAUGUGUAGCGGUGAAAUGCGUAGAUAUAUGGAGGAACACCAGUGGCGAAGGCGGCUCUCUGGUCUGUGACUGACGCUGAGGCUCGAAAGCGUGGGGAGCAAACAGA